rnacentral:rRNA from 1 species
GACGAACGCUGGCGGCGUGCUUAACACAUGCAAGUCGAACGGAAAGGCCCUGCUGUUGUGGGGUUCUCGAGUGGCGAACGGGUGAGUAACACGUGAGUAACCUGCCCUUGACUUUGGGAUAACUUCAGGAAACUGGGGCUAAUACCGGAUAGGAGCUCCUGCUGCAUGGCGGGGGUUGGAAAGUUUCGGCGGUUGGGGAUGGACUCGCCGCUUAUCAGCUUGUGGGUGGGGUAGUGGCUUACCAAGGCUUUGACGGGUAGCCGGCCUGAGAGGGUGACCGGGCACAUUGGGACUCCGACCCCGCCCCGCCUCCUACUUGAUGCAUCAGUGGGGAAUACUGCGUUUCGCGCGGAAGGCCGAUGUAGUCUCGCCGCCCUCGCGACGUCGGCCGUCCGCUUGGACCCCCCUUUCGCCUGUGAUGAAGCGUGUGUGCCGGCGCUCGUUACCGAAGCACCGCUUACCUACUUG